CAUGCUAUUUCCUCAAAUCAGGUAGGACUACCCGCUGAACUUAAGCAUAUCAAUAAGCGGAGGAAAAGAAACCAACAGGGAUUGCCUCAGUAACGGCGAGUGAAGCGGCAAGAGCUCAACUUUGGAAUCGCUCCGGCGAGUUGUAGUCUGGAGGCGGCCGGUCCGCCUUGCGCAACCAAAUCUAAGUCCUCUGGAACGAGGCGCUUGAAAGGGUGACAGCCCCGUGGAUUUUUGUUGUUGUGCUUGGCCCCUGGUCUGCCGACGAGUCGAGUUGUUUGGGAAUGCAGCUCUAAGUGGGUGGUAAAUUCCAUCUAAAGCUAAAUACCGGCGAGAGACCGAUAGCGAACAAGUACAGUAAUGGAAAGAUGAAAAGCACUUUGAAAAGAGAGUGAAACAGUACGUGAAAUUGUUGAAAGGGAAGGGCUUGCAGCUAGACAACUGUCAGCAUCGGGUGGAGCGGAACUAAAAGUGGGAGCUGAUGUAGCAACCCCCCCGGGGUUGCAUUAUACAACUCUCAGAUGGUUCCUGCUUCGCCCGAGGAUCGCCUAUUUGAAGGAUGCUGGCGCAAUGGCUGCAAGCCACCCGUCUUGAAACACGGACCAAGGAGUCUAACGUCUAUGCGAGUGUACGGGUGGAAAACCCCUGCGCGGAAUGAAAGUAAGAGGUUGGAGCCCGCAAGGGUGCACAAUCGACCGACCUGGAAGU
rnacentral:rRNA from 1 species